GACGAACGCUGGCGGCGUGCUUAACACAUGCAAGUCGAACGGUGAAGCGCCUUCCUUUUUGGUGGGUGUGGAUGAGUGGCGAACGGGUGAGUAACACGUGAGUAACCUGCCCCCUUCUUCUGGAUAACCGCAUGAAAGUGUGGCUAAUACGGGAUAUUCUGGGUCUGUCGCAUGAUGGGUCUGGGAAAGAUAUUGUUUCGGUGGGGGAUGGGCUCGCGGCCUAUCAGCUUGUUGGUGGGGUGAUGGCCUACCAAGGCGGUGACGGGUAGCCGGCCUGAGAGGGUGGACGGUCACACUGGGACUGAGACACGGCCCAGACUCAUACGGGAGGCAGCAGUGGGGAAUAUUGCACAAUGGGCGCAAGCCUGAUGCAGCGACGCCGCGUGAGGGAUGGAGGCCUUCGGGCUGUGAACCUCUUUCGCCAGUGAAGCAGGCCUGCCUCGUUUGUGGGUGGGUUGACGGUAGCUGGAUAAGAAGCGCCGGCUAACUACGUG
rnacentral:rRNA from 1 species